UACGGGGGGGGCAAGCGUUGUUCGGAAUUACUGGGCGUAAAGGGUUCGUAGGUGGCUUGUUAAGUCAGACGUGAAAUCCCUCGACUCAACCGGGGAACUGCGUCUGAGACUGAUGAGCUCGAGUGCAGGAGAGGAGAGUGGAAUUCCUAGCGUAGCGGUGAAAUGCGUAGAGAUUAGGAAGAACACCGGUGGCGAAGGCGGCCUGCUGGGCAGUAGCUGACGCUGAUGCGCGACAGCGUGGGGAGCAAACAGG
rnacentral:rRNA from 1 species